CGGAACGGAGCUAAUACCGGAUAAUAUUUCGAACCGCAUGGUUCGAUAGUGAAAGGUGGUUUUGCUAUCACUUAUAGAUGGACCCGCGCCGUAUUAGCUAGUUGGUAAGGUAACGGCUUACCAAGGCGACGAUACGUAGCCGACCUGAGAGGGUGAUCGGCCACACUGGAACUGAGACACGGUCCAGACUCCUACGGGAGGCAGCAGUC
rnacentral:rRNA from 1 species